rnacentral:rRNA from 1 species
GAGCCUUGAUGUGUAGGAUAGGUGGGAGGCUUUGAAGUGUGGACGCCAGUCUGCAUGGAGCCGACCUUGAAAUACCACCCUUUAAUGUUUGAUGUUCUAACGUGGACCCGUAAUCCGGGUUGCGGACAGUGUCUGGUGGGUAGUUUGACUGGGGCGGUCUCCUCCUAAAGAGUAACGGAGGAGCACGAAGGUUGGCUAAUCCUGGUCGGACAUCAGGAGGUUAGUGCAAUGGCAUAAGCCAGCUUGACUGCGAGCGUGACGGCGCGAGCAGGUGCGAAAGCAGGUCAUAGUGAUCCGGUGGUUCUGAAUGGAAGGGCCAUCGCUCAACGGAUAAAAGGUACUCCGGGGAUAACAGGCUGAUACCGCCCAAGAGUUCAUAUCGACGGCGGUGUUUGGCACCUCGAUGUCGGCUCAUCACAUCCUGGGGCUGAAGUAGGUCCCAAGGGUAUGGCUGUUCGCCAUUUAAAGUGGUACGCGAGCUGGGUUUAGAACGUCGUGAGACAGUUCGGUCCCUAUCUGCCGUGGGCGCUGGAGAACUGAGGGGGGCUGCUCCUAGUACGAGAGGACCGGAGUGGACGCAUCACUGGUGUUCGGGUUGUCAUGCCAAUGGCACUGCCCGGUAGCUAAAUGCGGAAGAGAUAAGUGCUGAAA